rnacentral:rRNA from 1 species
GACAGAGGGUGCAAACGUUGUUCGGAAUUACUGGGCGUAAAGCGUGUGUAGGCGGUUCUGUAAGUCGGAUGUGAAAGCCCCGGGCUCAACCCAGGAAGUGCAUUCGAUACUGCAGAGCUAGAGUAUCGGAGAGGUUGGUGGAAUUCUCGGUGUAGAGGUGAAAUUCGUAGAUAUCGAGAGGAACACCGGUGGCGAAGGCGGCCAACUGGACGAAUACUGACGCUGAGACACGAAAGCGUGGGGAGCAAACAGG